rnacentral:rRNA from 1 species
AUGAACGCUGGCGGCGUGCCUAAUACAUGCAAGUCGAGCGAACAGACGAGGAGCUUGCUCCUCUGACGUUAGCGGCGGACGGGUGAGUAACACGUGGAUAACCUACCUAUAAGACUGGGAUAACUUCGGGAAACCGGAGCUAAUACCGGAUAAUAUAUUGAACCGCAUGGUUCAAUAGUGAAAGACGGUUUUGCUGUCACCUAUAGAUGGAUCCGCGCCGCAUUAGCUAGUUGGUAAGGUAACGGCUUACCAAGGCAACGAUGCGUAGCCGACCUGAGAGGGUGAUCGGCCACACUGGAACUGAGACACGGUCCAGACUCCUACGGGAGGCAGCAGUAGGGAAUCUUCCGCAAUGGGCGAAGGCCUGACGGAGCAACGCCGCGUGAGUGAUGAAGGUCUUCGGAUCGUAAAACUCUGUUAUUAGGGAAGAACAAAUGUGUAAGUAACUAUGCACGUCUUGACGGUACCUAAUCAGAAAGCCACGGCUAACUACGUG